rnacentral:SRP_RNA from 1 species
GCCAGGCGUGGUGGUGCAUGCCUGUAGUCCCAGCUACUUGGGAGGCUGAGGUGGGAGGAUUGCUUAAGCCCAGGAGUUCUGGGCUGUAGUGCUCUAUGCUGAUUGGGUGUCUGCACUAAGUUCGGCAUCAAUAUGGUGACCUCCUGGGAGCGGGGAACCACCAGGUUGCCUAAGGAGGGGUGAACCGGCCCAGGUCUGAAACGGAGCAGGUCAAAACUCCCGUGCUGAUCAGUAGUGGGAUCGCGCCUGUGAAUAGCCACUGCAGCACUCCAACCUGGGCAACGUAGUGAGACCCCAUCUCU